CUGGUAGCGCACCUGCAUGGGGUGCAGGUGGUCGGAGGUUCAAAUCCUCUCGCCCCGA
rnacentral:tRNA from 1 species